UGUGAUCUUUUGGUUUAUUUGCUCUCAUUCCCUAAGAAUUGGAUCUCACUCAAUCUGACAAAUAACUUGGAACUGCAUAUGCUCAGUCCAAUGCAAACAAAUCAAAGAAGAAGAAGUAGAUGAACAAAUACUUUCAAGUUUCACCCACACAAGAGUCUACCAUGGAGUGAAGAAUCAUGUAACUCAGAUUAGAUUGGAGAGUUUAAACUUUAAAGAGAG